rnacentral:lncRNA from 11 species
GAGCCAUGGCUGGACAGUUAUGUGAAGCAUAAUCAGAGAUCACUUUUCCUAUUCCUUAAGAGAAAGAAAUAGACCAGUGGCAAGCUCAUGGGACAUAUCUGAAAGCUGGAUCGCAGGAACCUCUGCAGUUGGAAAUCUGUCAGACCAUCUAACCUAUCAAUUAACAUACAUUCAGAACUUGCAAAAGUGGGGCAUUCUGGAAAUUGUGGUCCCACAAAAUAACUUUUCCAAUCUCAUGUUACAAAGUGCAUCAGCCAGUUAUACCAUUAGGAAGCUUGAGACAUUUUCUUUAGUGGACAGAGGCUGGUGAAAGAGAGUUGGAAGCCUCCCAUAUGUUCUUCCUGGACUCCACAGAAGUUGCCCUGAACUGCCUAAACCAGCCUAAACUUGUGACAUAUUGAGAUACUUUUCUUCUGUCUUUAUUUCAGCAGGAUUCAAUAUAUGGAAUGGGAAAAUGCUGCCAACAUGCCCUUCAUUGCAGGCAUGCAAAUGUCUUGAGCUUGCUAUGUGCAUGUAUUUGAAAGUUGCAAUAUUGAAUAGAACUUGGAAGUAACUUCUUUAAAUAAACUAGUUACUUGUAACUAAUAUUUCA